rnacentral:rRNA from 1 species
AGCGUACACGGUGGAUGCCCUGGCAGUCAGAGGCGAUGAAGGACGUGCUAAUCUGCGAUAAGCGCCGGUAAGGUGAUAUGAACCGUUAUAACCGGCGAUUUCCGAAUGGGGAAACCCAGUGUGAUUCGUCACACUAUCAUUAACUGAAUCCAUAGGUUAAUGAGGCGAACCGGGGGAACUGAAACAUCUAAGUACCCCGAGGAAAAGAAAUCAACCGAGAUUCCCCCAGUAGCGGCGAGCGAACGGGGAGGAGCCCAGAGCCUGAAUCAGCAUGUGUGUUAGUGGAAGCGUCUGGAAAGGCGCGCGAUACAGGGUGACAGCCCCGUACACAAAAGCGCAUGUGCUGUGAGCUCGAUGAGUAGGGCGGGACACGUGGUAUCCUGUCUGAAUAUGGGGGGACCAUCCUCCAAGGCUAAAUACUCCUGACUGACCGAUAGUGAACCAGUACCGUGAGGGAAAGGCGAAAAGAACCCCGGCGAGGGGAGUGAAAAAGAACCUGAAACCGUGUACGUACAAGCAGUGGGAGCCCCACCACUAAGCCAGUGGUGAACUCCACAUCCGCAUCCUUUGCUGAGGAUACGGUUAACGGAGCGAAAGCGACGUUCAACCGCAAAACAAGCAGAGGGGGCUUAGUGGUGGGGUGACUGCGUACCUUUUGUAUAAUGGGUCAGCGACUUAUAUUCUGUAGCAAGGUUAACCGAAUAGGGGAGCCGGAGGGAAACCGAGUCUUAAUUGGGCGUUAAGUUGCAGGGUAUAGACCCGAAACCCGGUGAUCUAGCCAUGGGCAGGUUGAAGGUUGGGUAACACUAACUGGAGGACCGAACCGACUAAUGUUGAAAAAUUAGCGGAUGACCUGUGGCUGGGGGUGAAAGGCCAAUCAAACCGGGAGAUAGCUGGUUCUCCCCGAAAGCUAUUUAGGUAGCGCCUCGUGAAUUCAUCUCCGGGGGUAGAGCACUGUUUCGGCUAGGGGGCCAUCCCGGCUUACCAACCCGAUGCAAACUGCGAAUACCGGAGAAUGUUAUCACGGGAGACACACGGCGGGUGCUAACGUCCGUCGUGAAGAGGGAAACAACCCAGACCGCCAGCUAAGGUCCCAAAGUCAUGGUUAAGUGGGAAACGAUGUGGGAAGGCCCAGACAGCCAGGAUGUUGGCUUAGAAGCAGCCAUCAUUUAAAGAAAGCGUAAUAGCUCACUGGUCGAGUCGGCCUGCGCGGAAGAUGUAACGGGGCUAAACCAUGCACCGAAGCUGCGGCAGCGAACGUAUCACUUAAAGCGAUUCAGCGGGUUACGAUUGACGGAGCGAAGCGACGUCAAAGCGUAUACAAAGUCGAGUCGGUUUAAGGAUACGUUCGUUGGGUAGGGGAGCGUUCUGUAAGCCCGUGAAGGUGGCCUGUGAGGGUUGCUGGAGGUAUCAGAAGUGCGAAUGCUGACAUAAGUAACGAUAAAGCGGGUGAAAAGCCCGCUCGCCGGAAGACCAAGGGUUCCUGUCCAACGUUAAUCGGGGCAGGGUGAGUCGACCCCUAAGGCGAGGCCGAAAGGCGUAGUCGAUGGGAAACGGGUUAAUAUUCCCGUACUUGGUGUUACUGCGAAGGGGGGACGGAGAAGGCUAUGUUGGCCGGGCGACGGUUGUCCCGGUUUAAGCGUGUAGGUGUGUGUUCCAGGUAAAUCCGGUUCACUUUAACACUGAGGCGUGAUGACGAGGCACUACGGUGCUGAAGCAACAAAUGCCCUGCUUCCAGGAAAAGCCUCUAAGCAUCAGGUAACAUCAAAUCGUACCCCAAACCGACACAGGUGGUCAGGUAGAGAAUACCAAGGCGCUUGAGAGAACUCGGGUGAAGGAACUAGGCAAAAUGGUGCCGUAACUUCGGGAGAAGGCACGCUGACACGUAGGUGAAGUGAUUUACUCACGGAGCUGAAGUCAGUCGAAGAUACCAGCUGGCUGCAACUGUUUAUUAAAAACACAGCACUGUGCAAACACGAAAGUGGACGUAUACGGUGUGACGCCUGCCCGGUGCCGGAAGGUUAAUUGAUGGGGUCAGCGCAAGCGAAGCUCCUGAUCGAAGCCCCGGUAAACGGCGGCCGUAACUAUAACGGUCCUAAGGUAGCGAAAUUCCUUGUCGGGUAAGUUCCGACCUGCACGAAUGGCGUAAUGAUGGCCAGGCUGUCUCCACCCGAGACUCAGUGAAAUUGAACUCGCUGUGAAGAUGCAGUGUACCCGCGGCAAGACGGAAAGACCCCGUGAACCUUUACUAUAGCUUGACACUGAACAUUGAGCCUUGAUGUGUAGGAUAGGUGGGAGGCUUUGAAGUGUGGACGCCAGUCUGCAUGGAGCCGACCUUGAAAUACCACCCUUUAAUGUUUGAUGUUCUAACGUGGACCCGUAAUCCGGGUUGCGGACAGUGUCUGGUGGGUAGUUUGACUGGGGCGGUCUCCUCCUAAAGAGUAACGGAGGAGCACGAAGGUUGGCUAAUCCUGGUCGGACAUCAGGAGGUUAGUGCAAUGGCAUAAGCCAGCUUGACUGCGAGCGUGACGGCGCGAGCAGGUGCGAAAGCAGGUCAUAGUGAUCCGGUGGUUCUGAAUGGAAGGGCCAUCGCUCAACGGAUAAAAGGUACUCCGGGGAUAACAGGCUGAUACCGCCCAAGAGUUCAUAUCGACGGCGGUGUUUGGCACCUCGAUGUCGGCUCAUCACAUCCUGGGGCUGAAGUAGGUCCCAAGGGUAUGGCUGUUCGCCAUUUAAAGUGGUACGCGAGCUGGGUUUAGAACGUCGUGAGACAGUUCGGUCCCUAUCUGCCGUGGGCGCUGGAGAACUGAGGGGGGCUGCUCCUAGUACGAGAGGACCGGAGUGGACGCAUCACUGGUGUUCGGGUUGUCAUGCCAAUGGCACUGCCCGGUAGCUAAAUGCGGAAGAGAUAAGUGCUGAAAGCAUCUAAGCACGAAACUUGCCCCGAGAUGAGUUCU